rnacentral:lncRNA from 13 species
UCUGUCCUCCCUCUGUCCAAUCAGGAUGUACCACUCUCUGUCCUCCCUCUGUCCAAUCAGGAUGUACCACUCUCUGUCCUCCCUCUGUCCAAUCAGGAUGUACCACUCUGUCCUCCCCCUGUCCAAUCAGGAUGUACCACUCUCUGUCCUCCCCCUGUCCAAUCAGGAUGUACCACUCUCUGUCCUCCUCCUGUCCAGUCAGAAGCUAAAGGAAUGUCAUGGUGGUGGGUGGCAGAUGGCAACAAGCUGACCUUUAAUGGCAGAGACACUUCAUUAGUGAUUGUGAGAUGUGAGCAGAUCAGGCAUUAACUGAGAGAGGUGUUGCUUGACAAGCUUUCAGCUGAGAGGAAAUGUGUGCCACGCAGCCAGGCAUAAUGCAGAGAGACACUGAAACAGAGAGACAAGGAGAGAGGAGAGGAAGAGAGAUAGAGAGACAGAGCGAGAGAGAGAGGAGCGACCUGAAGAGAGACAGAGUAAGUCACAGUGAUACCAGCAGGGAUACCUUUUUCUGAACCAAUUAUUCUGCCGCUGAGGGUUGUGCUCUGCCCAGACAGGGCCAGUGAAGGGAAAUCAUUCAGAGGGCUCCAGGCUGUAGAGAAGCAUGGGGACAGGACCCGAGACCUGGGAAAAGACAGAUCGCAAACAACUACCUGAGUGACAUGGAACUCACAGAGAUACGACACUUUGGGUUGAAGGUUAAAAUAGCAGGAGCACCUAAUGCUCUAUAGAGCUUUAAGAUCCAAUGCGGCCGUUUUUAUCUCAAUAUCAAACCAUUUAUGGGUUACAAAGUACCUUACUGUGAUUAUUUCAAUUAAAAUGGUCAAAAAGAAACAAAAAUAGCUUCUUAGCAAAGAGCCAUUUCUCCUGCCGAGUGGUCUUAGUGGGGAGGGGAAAACUGAAAACUAGCUGCUAUUGGCAGAGAGGUUUGGAAAUCUCUUUCUUAUUGCUCUAUUAACUCAUUUACCGCCUGGAGAUGUCACCAGGCUAGCCAAAAUGCCAUCCCGCCAAAACAGGCUGAAAUUUCCGGCAAUCUUUUCAAACAGCUCUUUCACUGAAAGGGAAUAAUCCAAAUUUCUACCAUUUCACAGUAAUGUUCCAACCUCAUAGUUUGGAAAUAUAUAUAAAACACAGGAAAUCAUGUUUUUGACUGCACUGAGCCUUUAACAGUUCAUACAGAAGAGAGAGAGCGUCAGCGUGCAUGCACGUGUCUUUGCUGAGUGUGUGCACAUGUGCCUGUCUGCCUGCCCCAGGCUCCCGUGGGUUCACCCAGGAUUCUCUCUUUAACCAUGUUCACCACCUGUGACAAAUGCAGCAUGAUGUUGUGCUGUGAGUCUGACUGAGGACGAGCUAAUGAAGUCAAUGUGCUUCUCUCUCUGGGCUUAAGGCCAAGUCAAUUCUAAUAGGCUGUGUGAACAGAGUGAGAGAGAGUGAAGAAAUGGUCUAUAAGACACCUCAUAUACAGUACAGUAGCAUCAUCUGACAUCCAUCACAGUAUGCUUAGUAUUCUUCCCAGCCACAUGUCUUCUCCACAAGGAACACUAUAUACAGUAAUCCUGGCAAGUUUAUAUGUGCAAAUGUGUAUUAUGUUUUUCAACUGCAGCAACUUUAUACAGUUAUAUGUAUUUGUAUGUGUAUUUCUUUACAACAUCAAUCCAUCACCAAGGCAACAGUAUACCUGACUGACCAUCGUCAAUACACAAUCCUUGAUCUAUAUCUUCAAUCUUUGUUUUACAUAAUGGAUCUUUUUGAAGAAAUAGAAUAAAUCACUCUGUCUGUAAUUUUCCUCCGAAAAGAAUGUUUGACAAAGAGUACGCUCGUUUUAUGUGUUCCCUGGCAAUUCCCUUUCCUUUUGUGGGCGUUGUGCGUUAACUUCUCUAAAGCAUGGCUCAGUGAAAGUGAAAUGAAACAUCCCCAUCUAUGAGUCGGUGAAUACACAGUGACCAAUGUGCUGGGUAACAAAACACCCUAGUGGAAGAGGUAGGUCCUUCAGAUAUGUAUAAGCAUAACAGAUGGAAGGGUCAUCUGCUGCAUCAUGACCCGUUAAUGGCUUUUUAAUGAAGCCCUCUUCCAGAACGAGGGAACGCUUCUGAUGGAGAAAAAGCACAACUGCAUGAAAAGGUGGCACAGCGGUCUAAGGCACUGCAUCUCAGUCCAAGAGGCAUCACUACAGUCCCUGGUAUGAAUCCAGGCUGUAUUACAUCCGGCUGUGAUUGGGUGUCCCAUAGGGCGGCGCGCAAUUGGCUCAGCGUCGUCCAGGUUUGGCCGGGGUAGGCCGUCAUUGUAAAUAAGAAUUUGUUCUUAACUGACUUGCCUAGUUAAUUAUAAAAUGUUAUUUAAUGUAAACAUAUCCAGCUUCAGGUUUAUGGUAAUGUGUUAAAGUAGUAAAUGUUCAUUUGAAUUAUAAUUUGAAAAAGCCAGCUGAAUGAUUUGGGGUACUGAAUAAAACAUGUAUAGAACAAGUAUUUCAUCUUCAGUUCUCUGGAAGAUAUUUUGAUACAAAUAGGAUACAUUGUACAUUAAGUAGUACAUAAUCAGUAAACAAAGCACAAAACAUACAAAGUCAUUAACUAUAGUCAGUCUCUACAAAACACUGAAUCAUUUUCUGUACAAAUAUAUAUUAAGUGCACAAAAACCUGGAAAAUAGUUCACCUUCAUAAUUUGUUUACAAUCUCAAUGUGUUCCUUUACAAUAGCAAAGUAGCAAUACAUUUUUUUGUCAUGCUUCUUGCUGCAUUUGCAUUCAGUCUGAGGAAAAUAAUUAAUGUACAGUAUAUUGGCAGUGUAUUGCUAUUGGGUGCCAUAGAACGUAUGUAAAACCUUAAGUGGGCAAACUGACAUUUCUCUGGAAGUAAUUUCUGUGUACAAAAUGAGUGUUGAAAUGAAAAUGGAGGGUAAGUGGGGUGAUCUGCCGUUGUAAACUGAUAACAGAGUGAGUACAGCUCAAAAGGCAUUCACAUUCCCAGCUCCCCUCCUCUCCUUUUCUCACCAGACGUUGUGCUGGAAGGCAUUCUAGAACCUAAUUAACUCCUCUGACAUGCUGUGAAUUCUCAUCUCCCUCCCUGACUCGGAUGACUAAGAGAUAGACUGAUUGAAAAAAUCCCAUUUAGGUUUCAAUCUCCAAAUUAGACAUGGCAAACAAUAUCUUGCCGCUAAUGCUCACUGAUUAUCAGUCUCAUUUUACACAAGGUUGGUGAAAAAAAUGGCCUUCAUUUAUCCCAGCAACAGGCGAUUAUUACCAGCCAAACCCUUACCCUCCUCAUUCACACACCAAAAAACUACUGCACUCUGAGUACAAAAAAAAUCUAUUGACAGUACAAACAUUGCACAACAUCAAUGAGGUUAAAAACAGAGGGAAAUUAGAUUUGCUACAUCUUGAGAAUAUGGGUAGAAAAGAAAGGAGUGGUUCUUCUUAGUGUGAUCUAUAGCUACAUCUGAUCAACCCUAGUGAGUUAACCUCCUGGGGUAAUAGUAUUGAUUGCUUACUCAGAGAUCAGGGUUGUACUGCAGAUGCUGUCACACUAGGCCAGGCCUGUAGAAAAACACUACUUGUGAAAAAGGCAUGAUGCUGCCUACUUCUUCUGCACAAUGUCCAUCAGUCCUGUUAUCCAGCCCUGUCAAGCUGUCAAGAGCUCUCUCUCUCUCUCUCUCUCUCCCUC